AUUGAACGCUGGCGGCAUGCUUUGCACAUGCAAGUCGAACGGUAACAGGCCGCAAGGUGCUGACGAGUGGCGAACGGGUGAGUAACGCAUCGGAACGUGCCCAGUCGUGGGGGAUAACGCAGCGAAAGCUGUGCUAAUACCGCAUACGAUCUGUGGAUGAAAGCGGGGGACCGUAAGGCCUCGCGCGAUUGGAGCGGCCGAUGUCAGAUUAGGUAGUUGGUGGGGUAAAGGCUCACCAAGCAGACGAUCUGUAGCUGGUCUGAGAGGACGACCGGCCAGACUGGGACGGAGACACGGCAGAGACUCCUACGGGAGGCGGCAGUGGGGAAUUUUGGACAAUGGGCGCAAGCCUGUUUCAGCAAUGCCGCGUGCAGGAAGAAGGCCUUCGGGUUGUAAACUGCUUUUGUACGGAGCGAAAAGGCUCCCUCUAAUACAGGGGGCUCAUGACGGUACCGUAAGAAUAAGCACCGGCUAACUACGUGCCAGCCGCCGCAGUAA
rnacentral:rRNA from 1 species